GUGCUUACUUCAGCAGCACAUAUACUAAAAUUAGAAUGAUACAGAGAAGACUACUAGCAUGCCCCUUGAGCAAUGAUGAUACACAAAUUCAUAAAACAUUCCAUAGUUUU
ensembl:snRNA RNU6-1257P RNA, U6 small nuclear 1257, pseudogene